GCUGCCAAAGCACAAGAAGAAGAACACAGGUUCCCCCACUGUCUGAAAGUAGAGUGUUUCUACGAAGGUCUUGAAAACUGAACUGGCAAAAGGCAAAGAAGCAGUUAACGUCUCAUGAAAGGGAAAAUCCUCUUUGGGUUUCUACUGGUUCGUGAAAACAGAUAUUGUGUACUAAAGGACCAUUCUACAAGAUGUUUUCUUACAACAGAGGAUAUUCCUUUUCUUCUCUGCUGGGCAAACAAGGGCAUGGAUAUCUGAUCUUCUGACUGAAAGCCUGAAGAGUCUCCAUCUCCUCAGUACUGAAAGAUCAAGGGAUCGAAUAGGCAGCUUCAUAUCCAUGUGUCUUCACACUCUGGAAAUGAAAUCGACUGUGGUAGUCAUGGGCUACUUGGAUGUCAUGCUGUGGAAAUGGCAUAAGUGAACAGCAACCCCAGAUCCAUGCUACCCUCUGGAUCCGUGACCACAUUCUCAGAAGCCACACUUCAGGUAAAUUGCUAUUCUGUAAUGGCUAAGCAUAGAUGCCAAGGCUUCCUCCAUAAGAUGCAGGCUUCCUCCAGUGAGUGACUUUGGCUCAAAGACUCCCAUCAACUCGGCUAAAACUUUCUUGCAACUGCACUGGAAUCUCAGAUUCUCCCUAUCCAACCCUCCUCCCUUCCCUUUCUGCUUCCCAGGAAUCAGACCUGCAUCAUGGUCUGAGGCAUCUUCCUACAUAUUCCUUCUUCCUCCUUCCUUACCCUUCACAGGUGUUUUCUUCAAUAAAUCUGUCAC